UGUGUUCCCUGGCUGUGUGUGUUCCCUCAGCUCGGAGCGGACAGCAGCAGCUCGGGGCCUGCCGCGAUGGGCACGGUCCCUGCGGAGGCUCCCGGAGCCCCGGGACACCGCGGGCAGCCGCGGCCCCGCCAGGCCCGUGCCACUCGAGGGCUCACAGUGACAUCUGCUGGCACCGCUCCCUCGCAAGGCCCAGCAGAUCGCGAGGCAUCGCUCAAGCCCACACAAGCUCUGUUUCAAAGGCAAGGAAAUUGAUAACUUGUAAUCAUCGAUAAUCUUGAAAGCGGAGCGCCUGAGUGGGAGGCGGGCUGCAGAGCGCAGCUCACGCCGCAGGAGGAAUCCUAAACCCUCUGGCAUUCCCUUCUCUUACCCAAUUGUUUUCUUCACACUGAGGCCUGAAAACAGAGCCCACUCUUGCAGUGCAGUCAGAGAAAAUGUGUACGCAAGCUGGCAUCUUCUUUUGAUCAUUUCAUUGAGAGCACAGCUCCUGAUCAGAGCGGGAGGCCCGCCAGGUUUCUAACAGAGCGUUAAAUCCUUUCAAGUUUUCCCAACCAUAGAAUUUUUUCCCCUCCUUCCUCCAAGCAGAGCGUAAAAAUCCUCCAAAUCUUAAUUGACCAACUUGAGCAUGGUCCUAAAGAAUAUUAAACACAUUUGACAAUUUGGAACUGCUUUUCAUUUACAAGAUUUUAAUAAUACUAAUUCCACUUAGCAGUUCUACCUCCAUGGCCUUUUUUUUUUUCUUUUUUUUCCUGCUGCUGUUACUGUUAACUAAAAUAUCUUCCUGUAAAGCUGAAGUUCAUCACAGGAUUGACAAGCAACUACCUUGGCAUUGUGGGUCAAGCCUUUCCAAGUGACCUUUCCAUAUGCUAAGGCAUAAACUCAUCCUAUUGUCUACCCAAUAAGGCAGACAAGAUAUAAAGGACAUUCUCUAGCUGGACUGCAACAUUAUUAACUCAACUGGAAACCACUUGGCAGAAAAUCACACAGAAGAAGCUCAGCCUUACAGAGGAAACUUCAAUAUGGAGAAUAUUCUCCAAAAACUGCAGACAGUUAAUGCUUCAUUUCUGUCUUUUGAAGGGAAAAAACAAGCCUCUUCAACAUUCUUAGGAAGUAAAUAUACCAGAAAAAUUUACAAAGCUUCCCAAGAAAUCACCUGUGAAGUUUAAAAAUUGUAAAUCUCUAGCAUGCCAUAAAAAACAUUUCCCAUCAAAACAGCAAAUUUAUAUAGUAUUUACAUGCAUAUUAUGACCAAUUCAUAGGGCACAGUGCCAGUUACACUGAGACUGGCAGGAACUUUCAUGGCUUAACGAGAACAAGGUUUUCCCUCUAAAUUUUAGAGGUAGGAGUGUAGGAGAAGACAUUAUGGGACACAGGGAAUGGGGUGCAGCUGUGUAAGACAAACUAACAGCAGUGAAGGAGAACGGAAUGCUGAGGUGUAUUGGCCAACCACAAAACAGUAAAAGGGAACAGGUGUUAUGCAUGUGAGAAACAGGGUAUGGAAGGUUGCACUGGGGAAUAAUAAACUGCUGAUGCCUGAAACCAU